rnacentral:misc_RNA from 1 species
GAGAAUAUUACUUACUUAAGGUCUUAUGGUUUGUAGUUUUCACUUUUCUAAUAUUUUCUAGCUCCCCUUUAUGUUUCUAUGUGUGAGGGCAUGCUUUUCUGUCUGCUGUUCACUUGGAAUUUUUGAGCAUCACAGUUACUUGCUCUCCAUUGACGCACUCUUGAACCUACGAUAAUUGCUGUGCAUGUGAACUGUCCUUUUCUCAAAUGUUUAUAAUCUGUUGCAUGCUGUAAUUUUGCAACAUAUUUACUUGUUUCUUCUGUUGCUUGGGGAUUUAGUCAUUUAAUUCUCUAUGAACUUUUGCCACCUAUUUCAAGCAUGUGAUUGAUUAUUUGGGUUGACACUUUGUUGUUGCUUUUCAGAAAGCUUUUGAAG